AAGGAACCAUGUUUUUCAGACUAAAGCCAUCUUUACGCUCUGCGCUGUAAUUACAAAAUGCCAAAUGACUCGAUUGAUGAGGUCAUCUCCGGUAACAUCUCUUGAUGCAUGGAAGGGUAAGAGAGCAGCAUCACAAACCCAAGUUUUUAUUGAUUAUAGAUUGGAAGCAGCAUCACAAACCCAAUUUUUAUUGAUUAUAGAUUGGGAGCAGCAUCACAGACCCAAGUUUUUAUUGAUUAUAGAUUAGGAGCAGCAUCACAAACCCAAGUUUUUAUUGAUUAUAGAUUAGGAGCAGCAUCACAAACCCAAGUUUUUAUUGAUUAUAGAUUGGGAGCAGCAUCACAAACCCAAGUUUUUAUUGAUUAUAGAUUGGGAGCAGCAUCACAAACCCAAGUUUUUAUUGAUUAU
ensembl:lncRNA